CACUGACAUUAGAUACCCCUGUAGUCCCAGCCGUAAACAAUGUGCGUUAGGUGUGUCGGUAACCACGCGUUACUGAUGCGCCGAAGAGAAAUCGUGAAACGCACCACCUGGGAAGUACGGUCGCAAGGCUGAAACUUAAAGGAAUUGGCGGGGAGCACCACAACAGGUGGAGCCUGCGGUUUAAUUGGAUUCAACGCCGGACAUCUCACCGGAUAAGACAGCUGAAUGAUUGUCAAUCUGAAGGUUUUACAUGACUAGCUG
rnacentral:rRNA from 1 species